UUACAAUAUAAAUCCUUAUGUACUCAUUCCACACCUCUGUGUGAGUCCUGUAUUUGUAUCCAGCCUUUUUGGGUCCAAGUUCAUGACAGGAAGUGAUGAGGAAAA